AAAUGAACCUUCCCGCUGCCCCUGCGGGUUCUUCUUGUCCAGUGCCUGGGCCCUGACUGCUCCUCUACCUCCACACCCUUAUCUCCACAUCUCACCACUGACUCGUUGAUUUGUGAGGGCAUGUGAGCUUCUGGAAAGAGUAACACAGAGGAAGAGCAGUUCUGAGAACUAAGAACCGUGAAACUGGAAAACAAAACAGAACAGUGAAACGGAUGAUAGUCACGCCAUGGCCCCUUCUUCCCCUGGGAGACCUAGAACCAGCCCCUGUUAUAUACUGGACCUAACGCUACUUCUACCUCAAAACUGAACUGUUCCUUUGGGGCUAUUUGAACGCUAACUACUGACCAGAUAUUUGACCAUGUUAAGGAAUUACUGUUUCUUUU